UGCAGUAAGGAGAAGAAAGAAGCGGUUGUUUUGAGACUGGAGAUGAGAUGGCUUGUGCCGUCAGAAGAGUUUCAAGACUGAAGACGAGAUGGCUUAAAUAGCUAGGGUAAUGUAAGGGUAAAAACAGUAGCUUUUUAAGAGAGGAAAAUCAGUUCAGUUCAGUUCAGUUAAUUCGGUUUUUUUAUUAAAUUAACCUAAACGAACUGAAAAACAGAUUUUUUUUACAA
rnacentral:misc_RNA from 1 species